rnacentral:rRNA from 1 species
UGAGGAAUAUUGGUCAAUGGGCGCAAGCCUGAACCAGCCAAGUCGCGUGAGGGAAGACGGUCCUAAGGAUUGUAAACCUCUUUUGUCAGGGAGCAAAACGUCCACGAGUGGAUAAUCGAGAGUACCUGAAGAAAAAGCAUCGGCUAACUCCGUGCCAGCAGCCGCGGUAAUACGGAGGAUGCGAGCGUUAUCCGGAUUUAUUGGGUUUAAAGGGUGCGUAGGCGGAAGAUUAAGUCAGCGGUAAAAUCGAGUGGCUCAACCACUUCCGGCCGUUGAAACUGGUUUUCUUGAGUGAGCGAGAAGUAUGCGGAAUGCGUGGUGUAGCGGUGAAAUGCAUAGAUAUCACGCAGAACUCCGAUUGCGAAGGCAGCAUACCGGCGCUCAACUGACGCUGAAGCACGAAAGCGUGGGGAUCGAACAGG